GAAAUUCGAAAAUAAAUCAAUACGACACACGUCAUAAUCCAUAUUGGAUUCUCGAAUUUAUUAAAGAAAAAUGCAAUCAAAGAAUUAGAGAAAGAUCUACAAAAGAAAAUUAACUCUGUAAAUCAGAAACGUAAUAUUGCUAUCAAAAAAGUUAAAGAACCUUAUAGACAGCCUAACAUUCCUGCAGAAUAUAUAGCUUUCCAAUUAAAAAAUAGAGUUUCAUAUUACAAAUUAACUAAAAAAGUGAUUGAAUUAACUAAAAAUAACAAAUAUAAGGGAGUCAAUGUAACAAUUCCGGGCCGUCUAGGAGGAAAUGAAAUUGCACAUGUCGAAUCCAUUUAA
rnacentral:rRNA from 1 species